rnacentral:rRNA from 1 species
CCUACGGUGUGCAGCAGUGAGGAAUAUUGGUCAAUGGACGAGAGUCUGAACCAGCCAAGUAGCGUGAGGGAUGACUGCCCUAUGGGUUGUCAACUUCUUUUAUAUGGGAAUAAAAUGUUCCACGUGUGGGAUUUUGUAUGUCCCAUAUGAAUAAGGAUCGGCUAACUCCGUGCCAGCAGCCGCGGUAAUACGGAGGAUCCGAGCGUUAUCCGGAUUUAUUGGGUUUAACGGGGGCGGAGGUGGAUAGUUAAGUCCGUUGUGAAAGUUGGCGGCUCAACCGUAAAAUUGCAGUUGAAACUGGUAGUCUUGAGUGCAGUAGAGGUGUGCGGAAUGCGUGGUGUAGCGGUGAAAUGCUUAGAUAUCACGAAGAACUCCGAUUGCGAAGGCAGCUCACUGGACUGCAACUGACGCUGAGGCGCGAAAGUGUGGGUAUCAAACAGGAUUAGAUACCCCUGUAGUC